rfam:Colletotrichum chlorophyti strain NTL11 CCHL11_scaffold130, whole genome shotgun sequence.
GCCUUGUUGGCUCAGUGGUAAAGCGCCUCACUAGUAAUGAGGAGAUCGGGCGUUCGAUUCGCCCACGANNNC